rnacentral:rRNA from 1 species
GACACGGUCCAAACUCCUACGGGAGGCAGCAGUGAGGAAUAUUGGUCAAUGGUCGGCAGACUGAACCAGCCAAGUCGCGUGAGGGAAGACGGCCCUACGGGUUGUAAACCUCUUUUGUCGGAGAGUAAAGUACGCUACGUGUAGCGUAUUGCAAGUAUCCGAAGAAAAAGCAUCGGCUAACUCCGUGCCAGCAGCCGCGGUAAUACGGAGGAUGCAAGCGUUAUCCGGAUUUAUUGGGUUUAAAGGGUGCGUAGGCGGCACGCCAAGUCAGCGGUGAAAUUUCCGGGCUCAACCCGGAGUGUGCCGUUGAAACUGGCGAGCUAGAGUACACAAGAGGCAGGCGGAAUGCGUGGUGUAGCGGUGAAAUGCAUAGAUAUCACGCAGAACCCCGAUUGCGAAGGCAGCAUACUGGGCUAUAACUGACGCUGAAGCACGAAAGCGUGGGUAUCGAACAGGAUUAGAUACCCUGGUAGUCCACGCAGUAAACGAUGAAUACUCACCGUUUGCGAUAUAAUGUAAGCGGUAAAGCGAAAGCGUUAAGUAUUCCACCUGGGGAGUACGCCGGCAACGGUGAAACUCAAAGGAAUUGACGGGGGCCCGCACAAGCGGAGGAACAUGUGGUUUAAUUCGAUGAUACGCGAGGAACCUUACCCGGGCUUGAAUUGCAACUGAAUGAUGUGGAGACAUGUCAGCCGCAAGGCAGUUGUGAAGGUGCUGCAUGGUUGUCGUCAGCUCGUGCCGUGAGGUGUCGGCUUAAGUGCCAUAACGAGCGCAACCCUUGCCGAUAGUUACUAACAGGUUAUGCUGAGGACUCUGUCGGGACUGCCAUCGUAAGAUGUGAGGAAGGUGGGGAUGACGUCAAAUCAGCACGGCCCUUACGUCCG